AAAGAUUCCACAAUGGUUCAUAAUUUAUUCACUCCUGAACUACUCAAUAGGUGAGAUGAGCCCACGAUAUGCUGAAAUCUGAUGCUAAUAUGCACAACUCAAAAUUGCUCAAUAAUAUGAGUCUGCUAUCUGAACAGAGUGCACUGGAACCCUGCACGUAAAUGGACACACUGAAUCAUAGCAAGAACCACAAUGCAGAAACACACAAACUCAUCUGAACUGAAAGGUCGAAAUGGAACUGAUCAAACUGUAGUGUCUCUUAUUUGCCUACAACACAUAUACAUGGUACAAACAUGAUGUGACGACACGGGUUACAGAUGAUCUACCAGUUCUCAAAUCAGCAGAGAUAGCCAACACAGCAUUGAAGCAACACAAGGUCACAUCCAAAAGGCCAAACCGUUGUACUACAACAUUGGAAGUGCAGAGACCAACUACAACAAAGUAACAUUUGUGGGCGGGCUAUCAAGCACCGCGGUACCCUAUCCCUUCUGAGUUGAGAGGUUUUGCACUGUCACAUAGCAUACACUAUCUCCCCGCUGCUUUCGACGUCGAGGUCGGCGUCUGAAUCAAGGUCGUCCAUGUCGUCGUCAAGGUCCAGACCGUCGUUCAAGAACUGGUUGAUCCGGGAACCAGCGGCCGGGAUGGUGGCCUCCGCCAGGAUCUGCAUGAUCUCGUCCAUGCUCUGCAUCGGCUGUUCAGGCUCCUCAUACUGGCUGCUCAUGGUGCUGUCGUCCACUAGGUCAGCUGGGAGGUUCUUCAAGAACCACGGAUGGUUUCUUAUCUCCGGGAUUGUGAUUCU
rnacentral:lncRNA from 1 species